GAUGAACGCUGGCGGCGUGCCUAAUACAUGCAAGUCGAGCGAACAGACGAGGAGCUUGCUCCUCUGAUGUUAGCGGCGGACGGGUGAGUAACACGUGGAUAACCUACCUAUAAGACUGGGAUAACUUCGGGAAACCGGAGCUAAUACCGGAUAACAUGUUGAAACGCAUGGUUCAACAGUGAAAGACGGUCUUGCUGUCACUUAUAGAUGGAUCCGCGCCGCAUUAGCUAGUUGGUAAGGUAACGGCUUACCAAGGCAACGAUGCGUAGCCGACCUGAGAGGGUGAUCGGCCACACUGGAACUGAGACACGGUCCAGACUCCUACGGGAGGCAGCAGUAGGGAAUCUUCCGCAAUGGGCGAAAGCCUGACGGAGCAACGCCGCGUGAGUGAAGAAGGUCUUCGGAUCGUAAAACUCUGUUAUUAGGGAAGAACAAAUGUGUAAGUAACUAUGCACGUCUUGACGGUACCUAAUCAGAAAGCCACGGCUAACUACGUG
rnacentral:rRNA from 1 species